UGGUAAACACAGCUGCAUUUUAUAUCAAACAGAGUGAUGUUUCCCUGUUGAUUUGAAAAAUCGAUUGCAAUUACAGUCAGGAAAAAUAUCCAGGUUCAGUGUGCAAUUCAUUGGCCCCCAGCCACAGAGAAAUCCCCGUCGUGCAUAUAGCAGAUCUCUGGCUUGGCAGUUCACGUGCAAAAUGUGGCUGCACUUUGGGUGGAGAUGUGCAUUUUACAAAGUGCAUCUUUUUUUCUUAAGGGGUUUGAGUGUAGAUUAAGAGUUCCACAGAAGGCCGCAAAGCUAUGCCAAUUCAGAAUGCCUCAGAGCCCCGUUUGUGGAAUGCAGACGAAGAAUAUGAAAGGAACAGAUGUAACAUAUUCUUAGAUAACACUACAAAAGCCAAAGCCUGGAAAUGGGGAUGAAGGUGUGAUUCCGCAUUGGUGAGGAAGUUGUACGUGGCAAGGAGAGCAUACCUCUGCUGGGGGAUAUUGGCUGACUCACCUCUACAAUGCAGCAAGGUCCAUAAAUCCCUGCUUUGGGAUCCUAUUAGUUCAGAAGCCACCAAAUGAUGCUGCAUAUAUAGAUUUUAAAGUCCUUAGUCCUUAGUCUUAACAUGGGAACGUAUAUGGUCUUGGAGGAAAUACUUGCUCUUUUUUGUUUUCGUGAGGCCUUCCCUUAAAUAAAAGAGUUAAUAAAAGACUUUCAUGUACUAAAAGAAAUCUUUGAAAGAUACGGUGAGGAUUAAAUAACGCUAGCAAGGUACUUAGGCUUUUCAGAUUAAAAUAACUACAGAAUAGCAAAGUGUUCUUAUCUACUGUUAGUGUAACACUGACUCUAUCUGUCUCUUUAGCAUCUUUCCUCUGAAGUGCUAUGACCAUCCUGCUCCUACUAAUCCAGCAUCUAAAGACAAUCAGCACGAAUAUUCAGACUAUAGAUUCCUCUCUCAUCACCCUCUAAAACGGGUUCUCGUUACAAUAGAUAUUAGAAGUCACUUGCACUAAAGCUUUGAGCAUCAGAAGGGGAAUGGAGAUCAGAGCUCUGGUUUUGAGUCUCCUUGAAUUUGUUAGAGACGUCCGGUAGAUGGCAGCAAAUGGCACUCCAGGGAGCGAGAUAGCCUGAAGGUGAAAGCCUGCGAGCUGCUAGCACACGCUCGGGGUUAGCAAUUACACGGGUUUUUUCUUCUACCCAUUAUGAACUGAACUCAUUUAUUUUGCUCUUUGCAGACAGAACAAAGCCAUAGGAGAUUUUCACAGUGUUGUACUCAACCGAUGCAUAACAUGGUAAAAAUUUAGCAGUCCUUUAAAGUAACUUGUCAUUUUCUUAUAAUUUAUUAUUACUCGAAUCAUUUAUUCGCCGCACAUUAAAGCUAUUGCUAUAGAUUCCCUUGCAUAAAUCAUGAUGGCCAUUAAAAAUAGUUUCUGGAGGAGAGCAGUUUCUUAUGGAAUGAAGGUCAAUCUCAUUAGAUCGCUGUAGCAGGUAUCCUAAUAACAUCCUGGUAGAA
ensembl:lncRNA